CCCGCCCUGUCGGCGCCGCUUCCCGCCCGUCCGUCCCGCAAAGCGCUCCCCCGGGCGCGGCCAUGCUGCCCUGGCGCCGGGCGCUGCGGCCCGCGGCGCUGCUCCGCUCGGCCGGUUUCCCCCGCGCCGGGGCCGCCCGCCGAGUGCGCUGCGGGCCGGGGGGGCGCAGGGCCGCGCUGCCCGCGGGGCCGGACCUGCGGCACUUCCUGCGAGGGGCCGCCGCGGGGGAGCCGCAGCCAGAGCCGGAGCCGCAGCCGAGCUCUGCCCCCGGGCCCGGGAAAGUGUACCUGGAGACGUACGGCUGCCAAAUGAAUGUCAAUGACACCGAGAUCGCUUGGGCCAUCCUGCAGAAGAGCGGCUACGUGAGGACCAGGGACCUGGCUGAGGCAGAUGUGAUUCUCCUUGUCACCUGUUCCGUCAGGGAGAAGGCAGAGCAGACCAUCUGGAACCGCCUGCAGCACCUCAAGGCACUGAAAGCCCGGCGGCAGCCAGCUCGCCCACCUCUCCGCAUCGGGAUCCUGGGAUGCAUGGCCGAGAGGCUUAAGGAGGAGAUCCUGCACAGGGAGAAGCUGGUCGAUAUUGUGGCAGGCCCUGAUGCCUACCGUGACCUUCCGCGGCUGUUGGCCGUGGCAGAGUCUGGCCAGCAAGCUGCCAAUGUCCUGCUGUCGCUGGAUGAGACUUAUGCAGAUAUCCUGCCCGUCCAGACCAGCGCGGGUGGCACCACAGCGUUUGUAUCGAUCAUGCGGGGCUGUGACAACAUGUGCAGCUAUUGCAUCGUGCCCUUCACGCGUGGCCGUGAGAGAAGCCGCCCCGUCGCCUCCAUCCUGCAGGAAGUGAGGAUGCUCUCGGACCAGGGAGUGAAGGAAGUGACCCUUUUGGGUCAGAACGUCAACAGCUUUCGAGACACAUCUGAGGUGCAGUUUCAAUCAGCUGCUGCCCCAGGGCUCAGUCGUGGCUUUAGCACAGUCUACAAAGCUAAACCAGGAGGCUUGCGCUUUGCGCAUCUUCUAGACCAGGUCUCUAGGAUUGAUCCAGAAAUGAGGAUCCGUUUCACCUCUCCACACCCCAAGGAUUUUCCUGAUGAGGUCCUGCAGCUGAUCCAGGAGCGACACAACAUCUGCAAACAGCUUCACCUGCCAGCACAGAGUGGGAGCACGCGAGUCCUAGAGACCAUGCGACGGGGAUACACAAGAGAAGCGUAUUUAGAGCUUGUACAGCACGUGCGUGAGUCCAUUCCAGGAGUGAGCUUAAGCAGCGAUUUCAUUGCUGGUUUCUGCGGAGAGACGGAGGAAGAUCACCAGCAGACUCUGUCCUUGCUGCGGGAAGUGCGCUACAACGUGGGGUUCCUGUUUGCCUACAGCAUGAGGCAGAAAACCCGGGCGUAUCACCGGCUGCAAGAUGAUGUGCCUGCAGACGUGAAGAAACGGCGGCUGGAGGAGCUCAUUACCGUGUUCCGAGAGGAGGCUGCGAGGGCACACAGGGCGAUGGUGGGCCAGGCCCAGCUGGUGCUGGUGGAGGGGCCCAGCAAGCGCUCUGCCUCUGAGCUGUGCGGGAGGAACGACGGCAACAUCAAGGUGAUCUUCCCCGACACCGAGACGGAGGACGCUGCGGGCUGCCGGGCGCCGGUCAGAGCCCAGCCGGGGGACUACGUGCUGGUGAAGGUGACGGCUGCUAGCUCACAGACCCUGAGGGGAGUCCUGCUCUGCCGCACCAGCCUCUCCCGCGCCGCGGCUGCUCGCUGAGCCAGCCCUGCUACCAGUGCCUCUUCUCCAGGAAAAAACAUGGGAGUUUGGUCAGGUGGAGCCAACAGCUGCCCCUGGCUGCAUUGUGUGACAUUCCAGCCUGGCCUGCUAAAUUCAAACAAGGACCUGUAACCUGCACUUGUGAGUAAACUCUCUCUUGAGAGAUGGGAGAAAGAAUCAUCCUUUUUAAUAUAGGUCUGAGCUGUGCUCAUGGAGGAGGGACAGGCGGCAGCGGGUGCUCUCAGCCAGCGUUCAUCUGCUCCUCGCUGCCCGUUAUUGCACAAGGACAAUCUCACAAUAACCGCCCAUCGCUCCCUGCCCAGCCCUGUUCCUCUCCAGGGCUCUCCAAGCAGCAGUCAGGGUGCAGAGCUGGUCGGACACAGGGGGGUGCAGCUCUGAGCCCAGGCUGAGCUCUGCCACGCCGGGUGCUCCCGAGAGCCUGAGUCAACAGAGGAAUUAAAAUACCUCCCGUGAGGCAGAGGUGGUGCAAUUUAUUUGGACAGCUGUAUUGGGUUCUCUCUGGGAAAAAGAGACAAAGACUUUGUAUGCUCCCCCCUGGAUCCUCCUGUGCCCCCCCUGCAGCAGCAAACUCAGGGACACAGGCUGGGAGGAUUAAAGCUGAAACGAACCUGGUUUCCCUACUCAACCUCUUGCGGUAACGAGGAGGAGAAAGGUGCUCCUGGUGUGACACCAGCCCGCCGCACGGUGACGGUUCCAAUAGAGCUGUCGGGUGCUCUGGGGACAGUGAAGGAGCUGCCUGGCAAAGCACUCACACCAAACCCAUAACCCAGCCGAGAGUUGCACCAAACCCAUCCCAACCCACAGCCGGUACAGCCAGUACCUGCAGCAGCCGCCGCACCAGCUUCAGGCUCAUUAAUAUUCAGCACACUGCUGUGGAAAUGGAAAGCCAGACAGAAUUGUCCUCCGCCCCUUUCUGCAUCCAUGAAGAUGCCAAGGGUAACGGCUGAAGCACAGAAGCAACACCAAGGUUCACGUUUGGUUCCCACCUUCCUAGCACUAUUAGCUCUUGAAUAUUCUUUGUUUGUGACUUACUUCUGUAGCUGAUAAGAGAGAUAAAUAACCAAACCCUUGCAAAUGCAAAAAUCCUUCGGCAGUUUGGAAAUAAACCAAGUCAUGUGCUGAAUGCA